rnacentral:pre_miRNA from 1 species
GGCCAGAAACCACCGAAAAUAAGCCACUUGCCGCCGAAAAUAGCUUAUUUUCGGCGGCAAGUGGCUUAUUUUCGGCGGUUUCUGGC